ACUGAAUUCCCUUUACAUCUGGGGAAGUUUGUUCCAUGCUGGGUAAAACCCUCAAACUCUUCAAAGAAGGGAGGAGAAAGAGACUCCACGAUCGUCAUCCUCGUUCCGAUUACAGAAAAGAGCCGGUUAUCCCACCUGACUGGGAUGUGGACAUGUUUGGAUCACUGGAAGCAGGGCUAAUGGAGCAAUAAGAGGCUGGACUAUGUUGGAAGAGGUGCAAAGGAUCAUUCCUUCCAACACAGAUGGAAGCCAAGACGCCUUGACCGUGCUUCGACCUUGACACUUCACCCUCCUCA